rnacentral:tRNA from 1 species
GACUAGUUAGUUUACAUGAAAACGUUAACUUGUGGAGUUAGAGAGUUAUGCUAGUCA